UGAAGUCCCAUCUUAAUAGAUGCAUAAAUAAUGAUGAGAGUGACAGAGGGUAGAGCUGUGGCUGUCCUCUGGCUAGCUGUUGCUAGGGCUAGGACACGAGAGAGGCUGAGAGAGGAUGUAAGUGUGAGUUUAUCAGGUCUGUUUUUCCACAAAUCACAAUAAAAAGAUUUAUUUAUAUGGAAAGACAAGCAAAAAACUAAGUUAUGUGUCACCACAAAUCACAAGUAACAAAGAUGUGGUAUGUGGUAGCACAAAUCAGAAUAAAGAAAUGACAAGGUGUGUUAGCACAAAUCACAAGAGAUAAUUUUUUCUAUGAAAGGACAAGGACAAAAGUUUAGUGUGGACUAAAUCACUAAAUAAAGGACAAGGUGUUUUAGCACAAAUCACAAGUGACCAUUUUUUCUAUCAAAAAACAAGGACAAAAACUUGGUGUGGGCAGGCAAAAAACACAAUAAACAGAUGAAAAGGUGUGCUAGCACAAUCAUAUGAAAUAUUUUUUAUGGAAGGACAAGAACAAAAAUUUGAUGUGCAUUGACACAAAUCACAAAUAAACAUCUACUUAAAAAUACUAAGCACAAAGAACUAAGCAUGACUGUCAUGCUAAGCACAAGAAAACAAAUAGAUGAUGGCAAUUCUCACAUGUUCCAAGCACAAGAGGACCAAAAACUAAGUUUGCCUCUUAAAAUACAAACCAGGAAUGAGUUGUACUGUACAACCAAGUUCCUAGCAAAUCCGCAUUAUUCUUUUUUCCUAUGCCUAUGCCCUAUAGGUUGAUACCUGUUUUUUACUUGAAGUAGGGAGUGUUUUGUUAAGGUUUAGAAUCAAUCGAGUAUGGCAAAAUUUAACUACAACCAUUCAUAUCUACAAUUUCUAUAAUGGCUAUGCAUAUAUAGUGAGAUUCUCAGUGGUCAAAUUUUACACAUACAAGUGUAAGGAUAAGAAAGAUGACAACUAGCAAUAUAACAAGGGUGACACUGAAGUGUAACCUAUUUGGAAGGAAAAUAUGAUGGUGAUAAUUCUGCUAUUCCAAGAGUGCAAAGUGCAAUAAAUAUUCUACGAAAACAUGUACUGUAACAAAUUAGCUAUGCACUACGAAGCCUCUGAAUAAGCAGACCGCUAGCAACUCCAACAGUUUGCUAAAACUCACUUGGCAAAUCUAUAAUUUUGCCAAGUCUCAAAACCAAAUGGUAAGUGAAAAAAGAGGUCUUCUCCAACAGUUUGCUAUUUGGGCUUGGCAAAAGAACUUGGCAUCCUAAAUUUUUUGCCAAAAUCACAAAAUUGAGCCUCCAACAAGUUGGCAAAACU
rnacentral:lncRNA from 1 species